CCUACGGGAGGCAGCAGUGAGGAAUAUUGGUCAAUGGCCGGAACGCUGAACCAGCCAAGCCGCGUGAAGGACGAAGGUGCCAAGCAUUGUAAAUUUCUUUUGUCAAGGGACAAAAUCAGGCUCGAGAGCCUGACCGAGGGUACUUGAAGAAACAGCAUCGGCUAACUCCGUGCCAGCAGCCGCGGUAAUACGGAGGCUGCGAGCGUUAUCCGGAUUUAUUGGGUAUAAGGGGUGCGUAGGCGGGCUGUUAAGUCAGCGGUAAAAGCCCGGGGCUCAAACCCGGCGAGCCGUUGAAACUGGCUGGCUUGAGAUGUAGAGAGGUAUGCGGAAUGCGCAGUGUAGCGGUAAAAUGCUUAGAUAUUGCGCAGAACUCCGAUUGCGAAGGCAGCAUACCGGCGGCGAUCUGACGCUGAGGCACGAAAGCGUGGGUAUCGAACAGGAUUAGAUACCCGAGUAGUC
rnacentral:rRNA from 1 species